rnacentral:lncRNA from 1 species
CUCCCUGCUCUCCUCACUGCCUCUUUCCAUCAGUCUCCAUCGUCGUGUUCCUCCCCAUCAUCAUUGGCAUCAGCCUUUCUCCUCCAUUUAGGUCCACUUGCAAUAUUACUUGUGUUGGAUAUAAAAUACCCCCCAGCCAAAGUUCAUGUCAGAAGUGACCCUUCAGGGAUUCUACCGACGUUCGACCUUCGGCGACAUCUUUCUGAAUCUCUCCGGCGGCCGAGUCUCCGCAACAUUUUCAAGUUCUGCCGGCGGAUAAACU